CUACGGGCUGCUCCAGUGAGGAAUAUUGCACAAUGGGGGGAACCCUGAUGCAGCAACGCCGCGUGGAGGAUGACGCAUUUCGGCGUGUAAACUCCUUUUAUAUGUCAAGAAAAUGACGGUAGCAUAUGAAUAAGCACCGGCUAACUCCGUGCCAGCAGCCGCGGUAAUACGGGGGGUGCAAGCGUUACUCGGAAUCACUGGGCGUAAAGGACGCGUAGGCGGGUUGGAAAGUCAGGUGUGAAAUCCUACAGCUUAACUGUAGAACUGCACUUGAAACUUCUAAUCUAGAGUAUGGGAGGGGGAGAUGGAAUUAGUGGUGUAGGGGUAAAAUCCGUAGAUAUCACUAGGAAUACCUAAAGCGAAGGCGAUCUCCUGGAACAUUACUGACGCUAAGGCGUGAAAGCGUGGGGGGCAAACAGGAUUAGAUACCCUGGUAGUC
rnacentral:rRNA from 1 species